AUGAGGAAGCACGGGUGGCAGCUGCCGUACCACCCGCUGCAGGUGGUGGCGAUAGCCGUCUUCGCCGCGCUGGGCUUCGCCUUCUACGUCUUCUUCCUGCCCUUCGUCGGCAGCCAGACCUCCCAGUACGUCGCCAUGGGCCUCUACACCCCGCUGAUUACGUGCGUCGUCACGCUCUACAUUUGGUGCGCCGCCACGAACCCCGGCGACCCCGGCAUCUGCAAGUCGGCCAAGCUGCACUCGAGGAUGGACAAGGACGGGCGGCAGUCCCACUCCCACAUGGAUUCGGACCACGGCCUGAAUGCCGCUGACAACAGCGAGAAGCUGAGCAGCAUGCUCGAGAGGAAGGACUCGCCUUCUUGGCCCAGAUGCUCUCAACUGCUCUGCUUAGUCUGCUUGCCCUUUUCCUGCCUCUGCAAAAGAUGCCUCCGUUCAGAUGACCGGCAUUCUGAAGAGAACAUGAGUGAGGAGGGCAUGUUCUUCUGCAGCUUAUGCGAAGCAGAGGUUUUGAAGAACAGUAAGCAUUGCAGAGUGUGCGACAAGUGUGUUGAUGGCUUUGAUCACCAUUGCAGAUGGCUCAACAAUUGCGUUGGGAAAAGGAACUACAAAGGGUUCUUCAUUCUAAUGACUUCUGCUGUUCUCCUGCUUGUAGUGCAGUGGUUGUCAGGAACCCUUGUGAUAAUUCUCUGCAUUGUGAAGCGAGGGGAGUUCUCAAGGCAGAUUGACUCAAAGUUAGGAAGCAGCUUCUCAACUGUAGCAUUUGUAAUUGUCGUGGCUACUUGCACCAUACUAGCAAUGAUCGCGACUGUACCGCUUGCUCAACUUCUGUGCUUCCAUAUUCUUCUUAUCAAGAAGGGAAUUAGUACAUAUGAUUACAUCAUAGCUUUGAGAGAGCAAGAGGAAGAUCAGCAAGAAGAGGUUGCUGGUCACCAAAGUCCGCAGAUGUCUAUCAUUAGUUCUGUUACUGGAUUUAGCACAGCAAGUUCUUUUGGUCCUCUUCAUCGUGGUUCAUGGUGCACUCCACCACGAUUAUUCCUUGAAGAUCAGUUUGAUGUCAUCCCUCCGGAGAUUGGCAUGUCACAGAACCCUGGAAGCAAGAAGAUGAAGAUACCGGAAGGAGCAAGAAGAAGAAAUGGAACGGUAAAAAUCAGCCCCUGGACACUGGCACGCCUCAACGCCGAGGAAGUGUCAAAGGCAGCCGCCCAGGCAAAGAAGAAAUCCAAGAUUCUGAAGCCUAUUGCAAGACAAGACCCUCCGAUCAUCCAUGACAACAGGAGGGGGCGAUUCCCUGCCGAACUCUCUCUCGAUCCCCUAGCAAGGCUAUCCGCAAGCGGCACCGAGAGCAACUUCAGCGAUGCGGCAAUGGAAGCUUCUGCCAGUCUAGCCCCACUGCAGCUCGAAGCGAGGAGCGCUUUCCAACCAAGCACCGCGGCAUCCUCCAGAAUCGCCGUCUCAUCGUCUGAGAGCAGCUUCGAUUCACCUGAUCUCCACCCAUUUCGAGUUUCUUCAUGCACCGCCGACGAAAUGCUGGGAGUUAUUACGCCGCAUGCGGCUCAGAGCCACAUCGAGUUCACAAGAUCGACGAGCGACGGGUAUGAGGCGUCGGGAGGCGAAGACAGUGACCGCAUCCCGUCGAGAAUCGUGCACAGAUCGUCCAACUGGGCUAACUCGCUUCUGCAUUCCGGUCAGGCUGGACCGGCGCCUGACCAGCACAUGCCAUUGUCUGAAGGGUUUCUUAACAACAGCAGAUCAGGCUAG
rnacentral:rRNA from 1 species